rnacentral:rRNA from 1 species
CGGGACGGGUGAGUAAUGUCUGGGAAGCUGCCCGAUGGAGGGGGAUAACUACUGGAAACGGUAGCUAAUACCGCAUAACGUCGCAAGACCAAAGAGGGGGACCUUCGGGCCUCUUGCCAUCGGAUGUGCCCAGAUGGGAUUAGCUAGUAGGUGGGGUAACGGCUCACCUAGGCGACGAUCCCUAGCUGGUCUGAGAGGAUGACCAGCCACACUGGAACUGAGACACGGUCCAG